AAAAAAAAGUAACAUUGAGAAUUAGAAAAGAGGAUGUCAAAUCUCUAGUAUUAUCGUUAUAAUUAUCCUCUUAAAGAAGCAAGUAGUAACUUGUUUUACUGUCACAUUCAAACAUGCAACACCUCUAUAAUUAUCCUCUUCAUCCACAAAUAACUUCUAUAAUGCCCUUUCAUUAUUUAUAAUGAAACCCUGUAUUAACAUGAUAAAAAGAAACCCCAAAAUUGAAGGCAUGCAUUAAUGAAAUGAUGAUGGCAUUAGAAAAUAAUAAAGAAUUCCUAACAAGCAAGUUGAAAAUUGAUAUUCGAAAAAGAAAUAUCACAACAACCCAGUUCGCCAAUGCUGAGUUCCUAAAAAAUAUAGAAGAUAGACAUUAAUGAUCAAAAUUGUCGAUUUGCAAAGAUGGACUUCCUAAUCCACUUACUGGUUGUUAAUGGGAAGGAAAUAUUGAUUUAUCACAUGAAUCUAAUUCACGGCCAAGUGUGGAACUGGACCAAAACAGGUAAGACUUCUACAUGUCAUAAGUUUUAAUAUUUAAUAUUGACCUUCAUGGAAAAUAAUUACCAUGUGAAGCAAAGACAUUGAAGGGAGAAAAAUCUUGAACUACAUCUAAGAAAAACGAAAACCUUGAGGUAGUAUAGCAAUUUUACCCGUGGAAACUUUAAACCUUCCACAUUCAGUAGUGAUUAAAAGUCCUACAUUUCAUAUGCCUUAAUCUUCUCAAAACGCAGCACCUUCGCUUCAAUCUUAUUCUCCUAACGAUGUAACAUUUUGUGCUAAGAAUCAGGGUAUUUCAAUCACAAGAAAGAAGAGAGGGAUUUAAGGUUUUAAGAUUUAGGGAUUUUGGGGAUAAACAAAUCAAUUGAGCUUUGAAAAAAUUAAUGAUUUCGAAACCCUAGCCAUCCUCUUUGGGUUUGCCCUAGCAACGAAACGAGUGAAAACGAGUUCUUAAACCUAGUGCAUGAUCAGAGAUCCUACACCUAGGACACCAACAGAGCUCUAAAACAAGUGUUUCAGAGGUAGUGGCGCAAUCAACACUUGAUGGAAAAUGCAUUUUCAUGAAAAUAGAGCAAAAAGGAAAUUAAAUAGAGAAGAGAAGGAGGAAGAGGGAACGUGAUACAUAAACCGGUAGCCCUGAAACGAAGGAGUCCUACCGCUUGAGGCAACACACACUGAUGAAAACCCUAACUGAAAUGAAGGAGCAAAGACUCCACACGCACUAAUGAAAGCCACACAGAGAAGAAAACGGACUAAAACGAAUAAGCAAACACACGUCCAAGAAGAAG
rnacentral:lncRNA from 1 species